CGGUAAUACGGAAGGUUCGGGCGUUAUCCGGAUUUAUUGGGUUUAAAGGGAGCGUAGGCCGGAGAUUAAGUGUGUUGUGAAAUGUAGACGCUCAACGUCUGACUUGCAGCGCAUACUGGUUUCCUUGAGUACGCACAACGUUGGCGGAAUUCGUCGUGUAGCGGUGAAAUGCUUAGAUAUGACGAAGAACUCCGAUUGCGAAGGCAGCUGACGGGAGCGCAACUGACGCUGAAGCUCGAAGGUGCGGGUAUCGAACAGGAUUAGAUACCCUGGUAGUCCGCACAGUAAACGAUGGAUGCCCGCUGUUGGUACCUAGUAUCAGCGGCUAAGCGAAAGCAUUAAGCAUCCCACCUGGGGAGUACGCCGGCAACGGUGAAACUCAAAGGAAUUGACGGGGGCCCGCACAAGCGGAGGAACAUGUGGUUUAAUUCGAUGAUACGCGAGGAACCUUACCCGGGCUUGAA
rnacentral:rRNA from 1 species